GUUUCCGUAGGUGAACCUGCGGAAGGAUCAUUAUUGUAUAACCGAGGUGCGAGGGCUGUCGCUGACCCGAAAGGUCGUGCACGCCCGAGUGCCCUCACACACAUCCAUCUCACCCCUAUGUGCACCACCGCGUGGGUCCCCCUUUGGCUUGUUCGGAGGGGGGCUUACGUUUUCCUACAAACUUUGUAUGCAGUGUAGAAUGUAUUCUUUGUUUUUGCGAUCACGCAAUCAAUACAACUUUCAACAACGGAUCUCUUGGCUCUC
rnacentral:misc_RNA from 1 species